rnacentral:rRNA from 1 species
CAGUAGCCGCGGGAAUACGAAGGGGGCUAGCGUUGUUCGGAAUUACUGGGCGUAAAGCGCACGUAGGCGGAUAUUUAAGUCAGGGGUGAAAUCCCAGAGCUCAACCCUGGAACUGCCUUUGAUACUGGGUAUCUUGAGUAUGGAAGAGGUGAGUGGAAUUCCGAGUGUAGAGGUGAAAUUCGUAGAUAUUCGGAGGAACGCCAGUGGCGAAGGCAGCCCCCUGGGCCAAUACUGACGCUCAUGCACGAAAGCGUGGGGAGCAAACAGGAUUAGAUACCCCAGUAGUCCCUGUCUCUUAUAC